AGUCUUCUUCGCCCCGCUGCCACAGUCCCGGCGCCCCAGGCCCUGCGCAGAUGAAGACCCUCCCUCGGACGGCUUUGCGGGCCCUGCCUCAGCCGGCGCCCCCUUCUCUCCUGCAGGACCCGGACCCGCACUGCAGGGGCUGAGUGCCCCCUGGGUCGGCGUCUGAGUCUUGCCUCCCCGUAGGCUCAGUACCUGGCAUGUGUCCAAGGCUCAGCAGCUGUACCACAACCACCCAACAGGAGAGAAGGAAAGGAGAGGUGCACCCCGGGGAUGUGAGGAGGCAGCACCGGGCAGAGGGGCCCUUGAGAGAUGUCACCAUCCUGUUAAGAAAGGGCUGGACCACAGCGCUGCAGAGAUGAGUCCACGGUGUGCAGAGGCCGUCGUGGAAGUUGUCGUGUCAGGAGCGCUGUAGACCGCAGUGUCCUUGAGGUGAGAGCUCUGGUCCAUCCUCUGGAGUGUUGGGGCCUCACAGUAGUCACGUGAGUUCUCAGGGCCCUGGGUGCAGAUGGAGGGGAGCUGAGAGGUGAGAUGAAGGCAGCACCCACGAGUCCCAGAUCUGCUCACCACCUCAGCCCCAAGCAACCUUGAUCACCCCUGCACGUGUCUUCAGUGGCCGCCGGGGGUGGGCCUCGUGUCCCACUUGGGUACUGGGAGCUCCGGUUCAGGAGUGUCUGCCCUCCGUCCCUCGAGCGUGGGCAGAGCAUAUUGGGAUGGAAAGUGGGUGGACCAGAGAUGCUUUCCCUCUGAGUUUGAUGCCCCUUUUGCCGCCAUCUCAGUUUGCGACCUUGUCUUCUUCAUUUGAAAAUCCAAGCUAUGACAGAGAUGAUUUUGUGGUACUUAGGACCGCAAAAUGCCUAUAAUUUCCAGCCAUGAUAUUUCCUCACUGUUUUUGCCCAAAGUGACUCCUCUUUGAUUCCCUUUGGCAGGGAGGUCCUGUUGGGCUUUCACAGGAAAGAAUGGCCACCCCUGGGCUUCUGUGCUUGGCCGAGUCUUUUUGCUAGACUCAGUGUAUCCUCUAGGCCACUGGCACCUGCUCAUCUUCGUAGAUCUCUCUCUGCCUUGCGUGCACCUGCAUUCAAAAGUGACCACGGGCUGGCCGUGCUCUGGUCGUUGAUAAUGCAGGGAGAGGAAUUGUGGAAAGCAGUUUCCCGAAUUUGGAGGGUCCACACCUGUCCCUUUCAAAUGCUGGCGCUUUCACACACUCCUGCUUCUCUCCAGCCCAUGCGUUCUGCUCUCAGGCACUGGGAGCUGCGUGUGACAGGCAGUGACAGGAGACUUCCAAGCCUAAACUUCCUGUUAUCAGAGCCAGGCUGUGUCGUGUCGUGUUGAGAUACUUUAGGGGGUGUAAGGAGCCAGGAUGAAUUACGCAUAAUGAAUAAGUAUGGUGUUGGGGGGGUACAUAGUGAUUGGCAUAAGACUUUCUAGGGGAAGCAGCUCUUUGGAGGUGGUGGACUGGGCAGGCCUUUGAAGGGGCGGGUGUCAUAGGCAACAGGAAGGGCUUCGAGGGGAGGGGAGGCACACAAGGGUGACUUGAGGCAGGGGUGAGCACGAGCACCGGGGAGUCAGGUGCACAGAUAAGUGAUGGCUCUGGGAAGUGGGGGACGGCUGCUGGGGUGGUGGGCUGAACAGUAGGAGAGAACAAGCUCUCCAGCCAUCUCUCUGCCAAUUCCCUUUACUCUGUCACCCUGAGAAGACCCAUUUUUCCAAGACAGUGUUCAUUCUGACUCUUCUCUGGGAGCAUUGAGAUUCCUUUUUGAGCCAAGUUUGGUGUGGAAAAAAACACUGCAGCUCAUCUCUGACUAAUUGGGGACGCUUUCAUGGAUGUCACCUUAAAGAAAGAUGAGGUAAUACUGGAAUUCCCUUUGUGACUCAGCGGAAAUGAACCCGACUCGUAUCCAUGAGGAUGCGGGUUUGAUCCCUGGCCUGGCUCAGUGGGUUAAGGAUCUGGCAUUUCCAUGAGCUGUGGUGUAGGUCGCAGAUGCAGCUUGGAUCCUGCGUUGCUGUAGCCUAGGAUGGCAGCUACAGCUCUGAUUCAAUCCCUACCCUGAGAACUUCCAUAUCCUGUGGGUGCGGCCCUAAAAAGAGAAAAGAAAAAAAAAUAGAUGAGGUAAUAUUGGGGAGCAAACUCUUGUCAUGCCCUCCUGGUCUGUGGCCUCCUCGUUGCUCUAGGGGUGCUGCUUUGGAAGAAGCCUCGGGGGUCAGAACCACUCGCCCUCUCAAGGUGAGGACCUGGGUCCCAGCUCCCCCGGAGGGUCCUCCUCAUGGUAUUUAGGGGCUGACCGCGGACACUGGCGUAGCAGCGUGAAGCAGGAUGUUGUCGCAUGACCAUCGCCAAACCUUUCUCUUCUGUUGCCUCAGCACAGCGUGGAAGGACUCUGCCCUCUGUGUGAACAGGGCAGAGGGGACGUUCUGGGGCUCCAGGGACUUGGGAUUCAGAGCUGGAGACCUUCUACUGGCUCCCAGCAGGUGCCUCAGAACACUGCUGACCAGGAAGACUGUCUCUUCCCAUCUGGACCAGGUCAUCCCGUGGCUUCUGUGUCUCCCAUUUGCUCCUAGUAUAACUUUUUAGAACCAGGAGUUCCUGUUGGAGUCUUGUGUGCCAUGCGUCUUAUCUUCUCACCCACUUAAAUAAAUCUCGAAACUGC
rnacentral:lncRNA from 1 species